CGUCCGCUAUGUAAACGGGCCUUGUUGUGAAUCUAAACAAAAUCAGUCAGUCGUCGUUUUGCUGUCGAAAGAGCAACGCGUCGAAGGGCCGCGCUCGCGGUCGGAGCAUGGUGUGGCAGUGAACGAACCCCGGAACGAUGCACGCGCUCUUCGGCGAACAGAGCCCUUAUGCGUACCGCGGAGGAGCCGCCGGCGGCUACUCGGCCGGAGUGACCCCCUAUGCCUACGAGCAGUACCGGUACGGGUACGGAGCGCCCUACCUGCACCCGCACCAGCAGCAUGUCGGCGCGCCCAAAGACAUGGUCAAACCGCCCUAUUCGUACAUAGCGCUCAUCGCUAUGGCCAUACAAAAUGCACCGGACCGUCGAAUAACGUUGAACGGCAUUUAUCAGUUCAUCAUGGAGCGCUUUCCUUACUACCGAGAAAAUAAACAAGGCUGGCAAAAUUCUAUAAGACACAAUUUAAGUCUCAACGAGUGUUUUGUGAAAGUGGCGAGAGACGAUAAAAAGCCCGGCAAAGGAAGCUACUGGACUCUGGAUCCUGAUUCUUACAAUAUGUUCGAUAACGGAUCGUACCUGCGGCGGCGACGUCGGUUUAAAAAAAAAGACGCUCUAAAAGAGAAGGAAGAAGCUUUGAAAAGACAGCAGCAGCUACAGCAGGCACAGGAGGCCCUGGCGGCGCAGGAGGCGCUGAGCGCGGCCGACGCGCUGGGCCAGGCGCGCGACGUCAAGCCCGACGUCAAGCCGCGCAUCUUCGAGUGCCGGCCCAAGCGCGAGCCCGGCGCCGAGUGUGCCCGCUAUGACAAACCAUCCGAAGCUAUGGACGAUUUUAGCGAACCCCGGUUGCCACCCUCAGCCGUAUAUUGCUCUCCGCAACCAUACUCUCUGGCCGCGGAGGAGUUCCGGGCAGCCACUUCGGGCUGGUACGCGGCGCCUGAACCGCCCGCCGAGCAACUGCCGCCAGCAUUCCGUGAUCUCUUUGAGCCGCCGAGCUGUCAGCUGGCCGGUUUCCGCGGCGGCUCCCCCGGGCCCGACGCUUACAGAGCGUCGCCGCCGCCGCACCACCACUACCGCACACCGGCGCCCUCGUACUAUCAUCAUCAAGCCUGCGUUGCAGCCGCUCCGACACCCGCUCACAAGUCCUACUGAGAUAUUGCCCUCAGGAGGCCGGCAUCACACGGCGCCGAACGGAUUUAGCCGCCCGCGUCAGUACCAAAGCGGAUAAAUAUAGCGCAGUAGCCGGAGAUGCCGUGAAGGCAAGUGGCGGCGCGUCGAUAACCACUGUUUACAGAUCGGCGGCCGACCCUGCCGCCUCCCGCUCCGUUCACACCUAUAGGUAUGACGGUACGAAGAUAAAGCGGGAGGCAGUGCGCAGGGAACAGGGGUGUCCUUGUGCUGACGACGCACAGCACGAGCUGUGAUGUGCUGCUGGCUUAACAACAGCACUUGGACUCUACACUAUGACCGUCUCUACACCAUAGAGGUUCAUUCAUAGUGCCACAAGACUUUUUAGUAUGUAUAUUCGCUUGAAAAACUAAGUAUUGUAUCAUAUACUUAACUUUUCUUAACCACAAGUCAUGUUAACGCAUGAUUAACAAAAACGCGCUGUAGAUUUGUAUAUUUUAAUCAAUUGAAUAUACUCAUAAUAUGAAACUAUUCCGAAGUAGAAAGUAAAUUAUCAGCAAAUCAACAAUUUGGUCAUUGAUUCCGUUUAUGACAAUAUUCUAUUACAGUAUUAAACAUGGGAGUGUUUAUCAAUUAUGUAAAUAUAUUACUGUCGUUUAAAUAGAUUUUAAUUUCUAAAUUAUUAAAGCUUUACAGAUGUUUAGUUAAGAUAUUUAAAUUCUAGUCUAUUCAUUGCUAAGUUCGUGACAUUGUAAUAUUGAAAGUGAAAAAGUUUCUGGUGGUUCUUAGUUAAAUAUUCAUAAAUUAAUGUAAGUACUAUGGCAUUUUCAAAAUAUGGUUAUUAUGUAAAAUGUGUGUUCAAAGUUGUAUCUAAACACUUAAUUGAAAAUGAUAUGUUUGGGUCGAUAAUGAUGAGUGUGUAUUAUAACUAAAAAUAAAAUAAGAUCCAAAAUAAUCAAGUCAUUUUAUAAUAUUUCAAGAUAGCUAGGAUAAAAAAUAUUCACGGUACCAUGAUUCAUAGUAUCUGUCAAUCAAUCAAUUUUAAUGAAUCAUGUUUAAUUAUGUAAGAUUCGUAAACAGCAAAUAUUUUUUGUUACAACGAUUUAACAUAGUAAGAUAGAAGAAGUAAAUACCUAAAUACUAUUCAAAAUUGUUCAUUAUGAAUUCAUAACUAAGAUGGACACUGCAUUCUGUCGUAUUUUGGGUUCAUUAUGUCAUUGUAAAUGAACUUGCCAGAUGCGUACCAUGCAUGCAUAAAAUUAACUAUCUUUAUUUUACCAUUUUUUCCUUUAUGCAGUCUCUUUGUGUGUACUUUUAUGUAUGACCCUACAAGCCAUUCCAAAAUUAUAAUAUGUAUCUUACAUGUAUAAUAUUUAUCACAUCAUGUCUGUAAGUUAUUGAUUUGUUUAAUAAAUGUGCACACUCAUAUAGACUGAGCAUUUUCUACUAAGUUUAUUUAUUUGAAAACUUUCAAUAGUAUGUGUAAGGAGGCCGAAUGUAGGCGUGUAGUUUAACUAAGUAUUCUGAGAUAUUUAGAGUAAUAGGAUCAAUAGCAUAGCCAGUAGAUGUUAGCCACACUUAUUAUUAUGAAUUUCAGACUAAGUACAUUUGACAUAAGGAUGUAAGUAUUUGAAGUGUGGGAUUAACUUGUGAUUUCUUGCAUAAAUGUAAAAUAACAGUUUCUAACGUAUUCGAUUCUAUUCAUUCCUAUACUACAAUCUGUAAAAGCUACCUUUUAUGGUAUUAAAGCAAAAAGCUCGAUGGAGCUACGUAGGUUUUCUUUUACUAUGUAUAAUCAAAUAACUUACCUUUUCUACUUUCGUGAUGUAUUUUGCAGUUGUUUGACGUUCUUGCCGUUUACCCAAUUUUAGUAUUCUACACACAUUGAUAGUUAUCAAGUGUAAACAUAGAAUUAACUAGCAUUUGUAUUUCUAUCAAUUAUAAAGGCUUAUUCAAACACAAAAUUGUCGCGAAACAACGAUAAGAAGUAGCGAAAGAGUGAUAAUGGAAUGGGCCAACUUCUUUGAGGUAGUAAAAGGAAAUUAUAUUUUCAU